rnacentral:rRNA from 1 species
UACGAAGGGUCCAAGCGUUGUUCGGAAUUACUGGGCGUAAAGCGCGCGUAGGCGGGUUUGAAAGUCGAUUGUGAAAGCCCUGGGCUUAACCCGGGAAUGGCAGUCGAAACUCCAAAUCUUGAGUGCCUGAGAGGAUGGCGGAAUAACCGGUGUAGUAGUGAAAUACGUAGAUAUCGGUUAGAACACCUGAGGCGAAGGCGGCUAUCUGGCGGUGCACUGACGCUGAGGCGCGAAAGCGUGGGGAGCAAAC